rnacentral:rRNA from 1 species
AUGGCGGCCGCUUCCUCCCUCCGGAACGCCCUUUUUCCACUCCUCCGCAAGCGCAUCGCCAUGGCGCGACGGAUGUCGACGACCGGCACCGGCACCGGGGCAGGGAUCACCGGCGGAGGCAGCGGGACCGGAGGGGCGGCCAACUCCGGCGGAGCCAGGACGACCGGAUCCGGCGGCGCGUCAAACUCCGGUGGGAGGAUGGCGGGCGGCGGCUCCGCGGGCAACUCAGGCGGCAGCGGAGGGGCGACGGGGGUUGAUCGUCUAAGGAAGGACAUCUUUAAAGAAACUAGACGCCUGUGGGAGGGCUACAACGUGCUGUCGGAGGUGGACAGGAACUUAUUUGGGGAGAUCGCGCGUCUUGAAAUGGACAAUGCCAUGAAUAUGGUCAACGCCAAGGUGGAUUUAGUGUCUACUACCUACAAGUUCUUGGGUUCGACCGCAGUUUUCAUCAUUGCCUUUGCAUCGUGCUUGGGGCCGUAUAUCAAGGAUUCGGUGGUGCAUGAUGCCGCCAAGGAGGUUGAUGAAAGAAUGACGCUUCGCAAGCAGCAAGGUGAAGGUGUUGGCAAGACUGCUACUCCAGGAGACGCGGCACCCACGACCAAGGUCCACACCCAGCCUGAUGCUGCUGCUGCACCAACAGGCGGCUCGGCGUCGGCGGCUCCCGGCGCACCGGCAACCGUGGAGGUCAAGAACAGGGCUGCACCGGCACCCGAGGAUGUCAAGAAGAAGGGCGCUGCUACACCCGGAGCAGGCUCGGCGUCUGUCAACAACUGA